rnacentral:rRNA from 1 species
GUGAGGAAUAUUGCGCAAUGGAGGCAACUCUGACCCAGCCAUGCCGCGUGCAGGAAGACGGUCCUCUGGAUUGUAAACUGCUUUUGAAUGGGAAGAACAUACGGUUUGCGAACCGUACUGACGGUACUAUUAGAAUAAGCACCGGCUAACUCCGUGCCAGCAGCCGCGGUAAUACGGAGGGUGCAAGCGUUAUCCGGAUUUAUUGGGUUUAAAGGGUGCGUAGGCGGCCUUAUAAGUCGGUGGUUAAAGGUAGCAGCUUAACUGUUUUACAUGCCAUCGAUACUGUAGGGCUUGAGUGAUUUGGAGGUAGCUAGAAUUCCCUGUGUAGCGGUGAAAUGCAUAGAUACGGGGAGGAAUACCGAUUGCGAAGGCAUGUUACUACGAAUUAACUGACGCUGAGGCACGAAAGCGUGGGGAUCAAACAGGAUUAGAAACCCUGGUAGUCC